UUUGAUCUCUAUUUGUCUACAUUGACGUCAUACAUCGUAAUCGGGUGGUUGUCAUUGCUCCGAAACGUUGAGUAAACGAUAAUUCAUGACCAUUGGCUUGAUAAUUAACUUGACAGGAGUCUUAUAAUGAGCUAACCCAACCUUAAUCCCUCACAUUGCUACAAAACAUGAUGAAUCUAUUAAAGAUAAGCAAAGAAAAUAAUGACGAAUAAACAAACGCUUUGCCCGUUCUAGAGUUAUUGGUAGCCAAAAUAAUAAAGAACUACGCUUGAAAUUAACUCAUCUUGAGUUGCCUCCAAAUGAUAUUUCCAUCACCACUAUCACAAUCCCUAUGCCACCUCUGCCUAUUUUUUAACAAUUAUAAACAUUCAAUUCCGUACUAUCAUUCACUUC